GGGUGAUUAGCUCAGCUGGGAGGAGGGGGUCGGCGGUUCGAUCCCGUCAUCACCCACCA
rnacentral:tRNA from 1 species